UCCUCUUUCUUCUUCCUCUUCUUGUUUUCUUCAUCUUUCUUCUUCUUUUUCUUCCUUCUUCUUUUUUCUUUAGGGGAGAAGCACAAGACACAAGUUCCAUGAGUUUUUAUUUUCUUUUCAUUCUGCUGGGAUUUUCCAUUUAGUCUCUGCUAGCAUUGUGGCAAAAGGCCAAAAAAGCCUAAAUCUGAAACAUGCCUGACAAAGACAUCUCCUUGCUGACUUUUAUUUUGUUUUUUUUCAGACAGAGUCUUGUUCUGUCAUUCAAGCUGGAGUGCAGUGGUGUGAUCUCGGCUCACUGCAACCUCUGCCUCCCUUCCCAGAUUCAAGUGAUUCUCUUGCCUCAGCCUCCCAAGUAGUUGGGAUGCCCAGCUAAUUUUUAUAGUUUUCGUAGAAUCAGGGUUUCGUCGUGUUGGCCAGGCUGGUCUCAAACUCCUGACCUCAAGUGAUCCAUCGCCUCGGCCUCCCAAAGUGCUGGAGUUACAGGCAUGAGCUCCCAUGCUGGGCCUGGCUGACUUUUUUACAGCUUUGCUUCUUCAAGCCUGAUCCUUGGUCCAGCCGCAUGGGCAUCAUCUGGGAACAGACUCUCAGACCCCAUCCAUCACUACUGAAUCAGAAUCUGCAUGUUAGCAAGAUCCCAAGGUGAUGUGUGUGUGUAUUAAAAUUUGGAACCACUGUCUCAUAGUAAUUGUAAGAGUUACAAUCUAAGGUUGGUGGAGGAGGAAAGAAGAAGAAACAGGAGUCUGCUUGUGGAGGGGACAUGUAUUUGUUUCCUAAGUCUGCUAUAACAAAAUACCACAAAAUUUCUAAAACAAUAGAAAUUUAUUUUCUCACAGUUCUGAAAACUAGAAGUCCAAAGUGAAGGAGUCGGCAGAGCCAUGUUCCUUAUGAAACUCUGGGAGGAAUCCUUCCUUGUGUCUUCCAGCUUCUAGGGGUGACCAUGGAAACUUGCAGUUCCUGGGUUUGCAGCUCUAUUACUUCAGCCUUUGCUCCUGUGGUCACAUGGCAUUCUCCCUAUGUGUCUGCCUUUUAAAUUGUGUUUUUUUGUUAUUUUUUUUUUUAGACAAGAGUCUCACACCGUCGCCCAGGUUGAAGUGCAAUGGUGCGAUCUUGGCUCACUGCAACCUCUGCCUCCUGGGUUCAAGCGAUUCUCCUGUCUCAGCCUCCCAAGUAGCUGGAACUACAGGCAUCCCCUGCACCCCCCGAACCCGGGAGGGAAAUACAACACAUGGGAUUAUUAUUGCUGAUGACACCAGAUAAUAUUUUGCCUAAACUCCUAAGGUAAGUGCUCUAUGAAGACCCCAUUCAACCCAAUCCUUUGAAAUGGCUCACUUCCCAUUUAAACCCUAUUAAUCUUUUACUUCAUGAAGGCAACAGGUGGUUUAGAAAAGAGCCAAUAGAAAGAUAAUUUUUGUCCUUCAGGAUCAGUGCCAAUGGAAAAAAGUGACCUGAAAUACAGAUCUCAGACCUGACAUGAUGAAAAUCUAAUGCCACAGCUGUUGUCUCUCAGAACUGUCACUCAUCAUGUUUUAAUUUCACAGUUUUGAUUUAAUCUUUUCUAAAUACAGCACUGGAUAAAUACAGAACAAGAUAACAAGAGUUCCCAGCAAAGGAGCCAGGUUGGUAUUCAUACUAUCCCCCCUUUUAACCUCCUCCCCAGCCCUUUGGGUUUUAUUUUCUGUGGUGAUUGCAUCUCCAGCACACUGCUUUUUAUGUUCAUGAGGGACAGGGCUUCUUUAAUAGCUCUUGAACCUAACAAGCAUCCUAGUGGUUUGAUUUCAGUGUGAUUUAUUUGCCUUUCUUAUCAGGCUAACCAGAAUGCUUUUAUCAGCUAUGUUAACUUGUAACACAGUGGAAUUGGGUUUGCA
ensembl:lncRNA